rnacentral:rRNA from 1 species
AGAGUUUGAUCCUGGCUCAGGACGAACGCUGGCGGCGUGCUUAAUACAUGCAAGUCGAACGAGGUCCAUCCGAUCUUCGGAUUGGUGAAGACCUAGUGGCGAACGGGUGCGUAACACGUGAGAAACCUGCCCCGGUCUCUGGAAUAACAGUUGGAAACGGCUGCUAAUACCGGAUGCCGUCGGACCAUCGCAUGGUGGACCGACGAAAGGGUUACCGGACCGGGAGGGUCUCGCGGCCUAUCAGCUUGUUGGUGAGGUAACGGCUCACCAAGGCAUCGACGGGUAGCUGGUCUGAGAGGAUGAUCAGCCACACUGGGACUGAGACACGGCCCAGACUCCUACGGGAGGCAGCAGUAGGGAAUAUUGCACAAUGGGCGAAAGCCUGAUGCAGCAACGCCGCGGGCGGGAAGAAGGCCCUAGGGUUGAAAACCGCUUUCAGCAGGGAAGAAAAUGACGGUACCUGCAGAAGAAGGUGCGGCCAACUACGUGCCAGCAGCCGCGGUGACACGUAGGCACCAAGCGUUGUCCGGAUUUAUUGGGCGUAAAGAGCUCGUAGGCGGUUCAGUAAGUCGGGUGUGAAAACUCUGGGCUCACCCAGAGACGCACUCGAUACUGCUGGACUCGAGUGCGUAGGGGAGCGGGAAUUCCUAGUGUAGCGUGAAAUGCGCAGUAUUAGGAGGAACACCAGUGGCGAGGCGUCGCUCUGGGCGUAACUGACGCUGAGGAGCGAAAGCGUGGGUAGCAACAGGAUUAGAUACCUGGUAGUCACGCCGUAACGUUGGCACUAGGUGUGGGCUCAACCACGAGAUCCGCGCGUCGUUACGCAUUAAGUGCC